CCCAAUUGAUUGAUGGUGCUUGCACCUGAUUGAUUUUGGUUGCCAACGAGUGGCGGACGGGUGAGUAACACGUAGGUAACCUGCCCAGAAGCGGGGGACAACAUUUGGAAACAGAUGCUAAUACCGCAUAACAGCGUUGUUCGCAUGAACAACGCUUAAAAGAUGGCUUCUCGCUAUCACUUCUGGAUGGACCUGCGGUGCAUUAGCUUGUUGGUGGGGUAACGGCCUACCAAGGCGAUGAUGCAUAGCCGAGUUGAGAGACUGAUCGGCCACAAUGGGACUGAGACACGGCCCAUACUCCUACGGGAGGCAGCAGUAGGGAAUCUUCCACAAUGGGCGCAAGCCUGAUGGAGCAACACCGCGUGAGUGAAGAAGGGUUUCGGCUCGUAAAGCUCUGUUGUUAAAGAAGAACACGUAUGAGAGUAACUGUUCAUACGUUGACGGUAUUUAACCAGAAAGUCACGGCUAACUACGUGCCAGCAGCCGCGGUAAUACGUAGGUGGCAAGCGUUAUCCGGAUUUAUUGGGCGUAAAGAGAGUGCAGGCGGUUUUCUAAGUCUGAUGUGAAAGCCUUCGGCUUAACCGGAGAAGUGCAUCGGAAACUGGAUAACUUGAGUGCAGAAGAGGGUAGUGGAACUCCAUGUGUAGCGGUGGAAUGCGUAGAUAUAUGGAAGAACACCAGUGGCGAAGGCGGCUACCUGGUCUGCAACUGACGCUGAGACUCGAAAGCAUGGGUAGCGAACAGGAUUAGAUACCC
rnacentral:rRNA from 1 species